CGUCUUUAUAUAUUUUCAUGACAUGAUUUAUGUGCCAUAGCCUACAUGCAUCGAUAAGAACUAUACAUCAUACGUUCAUGCACGCAUAAAAUGGAAUUGCCAAUGUCCGAGCCUUGAGCUGAUGCUGAGCCCGGCGACAAUCACCGAGGUGUCUCGUAUCGUCUACCACGGGUUCGCUUUCGUCCCGGUGCCCACCUCGGCCGCCGCGACAUUGCACCUGGCGCUUGCCUCGCAGGUGAUUCCGGGAACACCUCCCACGUGUCGCCUUCAUCAAUGGGGCACCUGUCACCUUGUCCUUCCAGAAUGUGGACAGUCAGUAGAGAAUUGUAUGCGUGUCCUACCUGGGUCAGUUCACCUCAGAGGCAGGGAUUGAACUGCAGUCAGAUGAAACGUAAAGGUGGCUGGCCAAAGGGAAAGAAGAGGCAACCUCCGAGAGAGUUAACUGUCCCCAGAGUUCCAACAACAGGGUGAGAGAUGCACACACACACAUCCACACAUAAACACACUUGUUUAUUGGGAGAGGAGAUGUUACUCUCAUUGCGAAGAGCUCUAUUAUAUAUGUGUGUGUGUGUGUGUGUGUGUGUGUGUGUGUGUGUGUGUGUGUGUGUGUGUGUGUGCAAUGCCCGUGUAGUGUGUUACAUAGUGUCUAGGGUGUAGUAGUUAUGUAAUUAGAUGUGCUCUAAGAUGAUUGCUGUUGGUGGUUGUUGUUGUCAGGAGGACUCUUGGGAGGCUCUUGGGAGGCCCUCACAGGUCUGUAUGUGUGUACAUGUCUGCAUGUGUGUGUACAUAUGUUCCUGUGCAAUAUGCAAUAUCGUUCUCUGCAAGUGUUUUUUUUGUUGUAAGCUGAUGCAAUAGCAGUGUUUCACCAGUAAGUGGCUGUAUAGGGUUCAAGUCAGUUGUGUUCUCUUUUCAAAGUGCUGUUGAGAAUGCUUAUUGUGUUCUAUGUUUUUUUGAAAGCUUUGUGUGUGUUUCUGCUCAGAGGAGUUUGAGAAGGACAGAGGCAGCCGGCAGCAGGCUCCAGGGAUGGAGAGAAGCCCUGUGGGUGAGGAAGAGGAGGCAGAGUUGGCUCGUACGUUGGGUCUGUCCUCGCUGGACAUCAGUGUGCUGCAGGAGCUGCUGCUCAGACACAUACUGACCAGCACUGACCACUAUUUGCCAUGACCACAUUCAUGACUUGGACAAAGCCAAUUUCUAAAAUGGCUGAAGCUGCGGAUCUAUAGCUAACCUCCCCGUCUCGUCUGCCUGGAUCUGUUUUCCCCAGAGCUGAAGACCCGAAUCACGUUCUGCGCAUGUUUUCUUACCUAAAUUUAGAUCUUCUUGAGUUAUACAGUGUUGUUUUGAAUUAUGGACAGUGAGCGAACUUUAGAGCAGUUGGUGGAAACAAUCUGUCGCAUAGUCUACCUGUGUUUAGUUUCUAUCACAGCACAUAUUUUGCCUAGUGGCGCAGGCUAUUGAGUUUUUGCCAAAAAUGUGACCAUUUGCACAAACAACCUGAAGUUCUUAAGAAAUUUGAUUGUUUUCUGUCUUACAGUAACCUUAUACUAUGCUAUUAUGUUUGGUUAUGUUACAUGGAAUCAAUACGUGAUCUUGCAGACAUUGAUUCAGCUUUGAUAUAACUUUAUUAAACAAAUACCAUUUAUGUCAGACUAGCCUGAUCUCUACAAGACUGUGCGACCAUUAGAGGAUCCCGCACAUGCACAGAAGUCGUGAAGAGGGCUCGACAAAACCUACUCCCCCUCAGGAGACUAAAAAGAUUUGGCAUGGGUCCUCAGAUCCUCAAAAGGUUCUACAGCUUCACCAUCGAGAGCAUCACUGCCUGGUAUGGCAACUGUUCGGCCUCCGACCGCAAGGCACUACAGAGGGUAGUGCGUACGGCCCAUUACAUCACUGGGGCAAAGCUUCCUGCCAUCCAGGACUUCUAUACCAGGCGGUGUUAGAGGAAGGCCCUAAAAAAUUGUCAAAGACUCGAGCCACCCUGGAGUAGACUGUUCUCUCUGCUACAGCACAGCAAGCGGUACCGGAGCAUCAAGUCUAGGUCCAAGAGGCUUCUAAACAGCUUCUACCACCAAGCCAUAAGACUCCUGAACAUCUAAUCAAAUGGCUACCCAGACUAUUUGCAUUGCCCACCCCCCACCCCCAUCCCCUCUUUUACCCCGCUGCUACUCUCUGUUAUUAUCUAUGCAUAGUCACUUUAAUAACUCUACCUACAUGUACAUAUUACCUCAAUUACCUUGAUUAACCGGUGCCCCUGCACAGGUACCCAUCUGUAUAUAGUCUUGCUUUUGUUAUUUUACUGCUGCUCUUUAAUUACUUGUUACUUUUAUUUCUUAUUCUUAUUUUUUAUUAUUAUAUAUAUAUUUUUUAACUGCAUUGUUGGUUAGGAGCUUGUAAAUAAGCAUUUCACUGUUGUAUUCGGCUGAUGUGACAAAUACAAUUUGAUUUGAAGCUUCAGGAACUUUAGUGUUGGAAAGAGGGGUCCAGGAAAGUUGGAUCUGCAGCCACUCCGUUCUAACAACCACACUGAAACACUGUCUUUAUUCCUGCACCUCUCUCUCAGUGAGGGACUUUGAGUUGCAGCUCUUGGGAGUGUUUCUGGCCCAGGAGAGGCGGAGCCAAGAUCAGCUGAGGGCGGAGCUAAACAACCUGCAGCUGGGGUUAUGCUCAGGUCAAGGACCAGCUUUCCCAUGACUCCUCACCACUCAAACAACAGUGAAUUAAAGUGUUACUGUCUCC
ensembl:lncRNA